rnacentral:rRNA from 1 species
UACGAAGGGGGCUAGCGUUGCUCGGAAUCACUGGGCGUAAAGGUGCGUAGGCGGGUCUUUAAGUCAGGGGUGAAAUCCUGGAGCUCAACUCCAGAACUGCCUUUGAUACUGAAGAUCUUGAGUUCGGGAGAGGUGAGUGGAACUGCGAGUGUAGAGGUGAAAUUCGUAGAUAUUCGCAAGAACACCAGUGGCGAAGGCGGCUCACUGGGCCGAUACUGACGCUGAG